UUUCUCCCAGCUUUCCGCGUAGAAGCGGGGCGGGUUCUUGGAUUCUCGGAGGGCACGGGGACCCCCUGCCGUGUCCAGGAUAAAGAUCUGUUGAGGAGGUGUGGAGGUGCAGGUAAAAGAGACGGAGGGAGGGCGGCUCAGAAUGCGGGAGGGAAAGUGGGCCCGUGGGCCUGAGAGAGAUGUCGGGAGAGGGGUGGAGGAAUGGUAUCCAGGGUGCUCAUUCCCCUCCCCCAACCCCAAACCGUCUUUGGUUUUCCCCCAGGAAACUCCCAGUCCCGCCCUACUUCAGUCUCUGAGGCUCAAGGUUGCCCUCCUGAGCCCAGGAGGUAGGGGAUGGGGGUAGGACACGGGUGGCUUGGAGAGAAGGGGCCUAGCGUUGACUGGGGAGGGGGCUGAGGGCUUUGUAGGGGAAGGAGUAACUCUUGAGAUCAGGAAACUGGGUUUCUAUUCCAAUUAGCAAUGUGACCUUGUCAAAGUCAUUGAACCCCUCUGGUUCUGUUUUCUUUUAUAGUGGUUAUAAUACCAGCUUCACAGGUAGAAGGGCUUUGGAACUGUAAAGGCCUGUGUCAAACCUAGGGAAUCAAGAGGAGGCUUUGCACUGGGUCCCUUGCCUGCCAGAGUUAAGCAGAGCAGCAGAGUGCUUUUAAAAGAUGUUUCCCAAGCCCUUCUUCCUUUCCUCCUAACUGGACCCAGGGGACAGGGAUGAGGUGGAGGGGGAACAAGAGCCAGAUGGAGUAGUCUGCAGUUUGCCUAGGACUGUACCUCAGUAGAGGGGACACUGCCCAUCCUCAAAUGGCCUCCCAAGUCACAGCCAGGUUGCCUGAGCAAAAGGCUCUCAGGAGAAAGUGGAGGGGAAUUCUCUGAAAGCAAAGCUUGCUCCAGGAGGGGUAGGCCCAGGUGGAGCCACACUCUAGGGAUUAUAAAGCCCUAAGAACUUUUUGCCAGAAUGUCUAACCAUCAGAUUAUCUCCCCACCCCAAACCCAACCUCCAUCUCUCUAGCUCCUUUCCUCCCUUUCUCCUAGAAUCUGAAGAACGCUGUGUGUGAGUCUCAUGGUUCACACACUCUCCUAACACUAAUCAUCACCUGCUGCCUGGUGUGAAAUGUAUUUGUGUCUCUAUCUGUCUCCCCCGCCAGCGCAGGAUCUCUCCGGGUGUAGAACUGUGUCACUCAGCACCUUGCAUGGAGCAGGUGUUGCAACUCUGUUGGUUAAAUGGAUUUGGAGGCCUGAGCACUGUACGCUGGGUUUGUACCCUGCAUGACUCUUGGGUUCUGGUGUUAUCUCAGGACUCUCUGCCUUCCAGAUUGAGAUGCCAUAAAAUCUGCCGUGACAGGGAUCAUAGCAGAAAGGAUAAGUGGCACGAGAAUAUAGAGUUCUCAAGCAGAGAAGUGUUUGGUAAGAAGCAUGGACUCUUGGCUGUCUUGGAGACAUAGAAAAAAAGGUGGCGAUUCUGUCCUUGAGGAACUCUGGACUCUUGUAUUUCCUGUCUGGCAGGGAAUACAAGGUAGACAAUACAAGACUUGGGAAAAUAAUAAUCCUGUCCCUGUGAAAAAAGCAAUGUCACACACAUCAACACAUUCAUCUCAGGUAGACGGACAUGGGUGUAUAUAUUCCAAUUAUAAGAAUAACAAGAGGAGUGGAGGACAGGUUUACAAGAGGAUUCUGUACCAUCUGCAAUGCACAAUGCAGAUUGGCUUCAGAGGCUUAUGUCGAGCAUUAGGAAACUCAGGGGUGGAACUAGGGUUCGUGGUUCCAGAUAGGAAAUGACAAGCAGUGAAGAACUGGUUAAAGGAAUGUGAGUGGUAUCAUGCCAGAACUUGGCCAAGGCACAGAGAGUGCCCAAAGGAUGAGGCCAAUCAUGGGACUUUCUUUUCUGGGCACACACGAAGUACCCAUGCUUAUGUCCAAACAUGAGGUCCCAGCUCAAGCAAGGGAUCAAGCCCCAUCUUUGGUGCCAAAUCUUUGAGUAAGCAUGACCAUGCUCUUCCUACCCCAUCCUUCAGGGUACUUGUAAUGAAGUCACAAGCCAUCACUUCUACAGUCCUCAUCCUUACUCAUUGGUCAUUCUCUAAUUUAUACAAGAUGCCCCUAAUUCAAUCACAUGAGAACCACACCUUUCCUAAAAAUAGCAAUUUGAGAAUCCGACAACACCUAUUCUCUGACUUACCAGGUUACAGUUGCUCUUACUUGCUGUCUCUAUAUCCUCUUUCUGCAUGUAAAUUCAUCUUCUCCUUAGCAGACAAAGGGAAAUUCACUGGCUACCAUCCUGGCUGAGAAAGCUUAUUUUCACUGUGACACAUUCCACCCAGUGUAUUCUGCUGUGAGCAAAACCUGGUGCCCUCUCCCAUGGUUUAAUUUGGUCCCUCAUCUCUGACACCCAUGUCUGUAGGUUAGUCCCUCUCAAAUCCUUUUAUUUUAUUUUAUUUUAUUAUUAUUAUAAUUUAAGUUUUAGGGUACAUGUGCACAAGGUGCAGGUUUGUUACAUACAUAUACAUGUGCCAUGUUGGUGUGCUGCACCCAUUAACUGGUCAUUUAGCAUUAGGUAUAUCUCCUAAUGCUAUCCCUCCCCCCUCCCCCCACCCCACAACAGUCCCCAGUGUGUGAUGUUCCCCUUCCUGUGUCCAUGUGUUCUCAUUGUUCAAUUCCCACCUGUGAGUGAGAACAUGCGGUGUUUGGUUUUUUGUCCUUGCGAUAGUUUGCUGAGAAUGAUGGUUUCCAGUUUCAUCCAUGUCCCUACAAAGGACAUGAACUCAUCAUUUUUUAUGGCUGCAUAGUAUUCCAUGGUGUAUAUGUGCCACAUCUUCUUGAUCCAGUCUAUCGUUGUUGGACAUUUAGGUUGGUUCCAAGUCUUUGCUAUUGUGAAUAGUGCCGCUAUAAACAUACGUGUGCAUGUGUCUUUAUAGCAGCAUGAUUUAUAAUCCUUUGGGUAUAUACCCAGUAAUGGGCUCUCAAAUUCUUUAGAACUGCUGCGAAACAUGAUUCCAUUUGUUGCUCUGUCCACUUGCAUUUGCUUGUCACCUUAUGCCCCCUCCCCAGGGCCAGAUCUUCCUUCCUGCCUUCCUGGUUAUCUUGCUGUCUCAUUUGAUCUGGUGUUUUGGCCUGGUCCCUUCCCCUGUCUUUAUUCCUCUUUGUUCCUCUGUACCUUGUCUCAUGCUCUCAUGGGAUAUCCUAUUCCCCAAAUCCCAAGUCCUUUCCCUUCCUUCAAUAAAUGGCUCCUGAAAUUCUGCUUCUUUUGAGAAGAGAAAAAAGUGUUGUCAAUAAGAGAAGCCUCCUCCCUACCACCUAAACCUAGUGCUCCACACUCUGUCCUGCAUGAAAUGUCACCUGUCAGUUUAUAAAAUGGAAGACACCUUCUAUGCACAUCUCAUGGGUUAAUUCAGUGCCAAUCCCCUUGAGUGCCAGUCUCUGUGCACUGUCAUUCUUUAAAGGGUCUUGCUAUGGCCAGGUGGUGGUCCCUUUAAAUAGCCAUCUUGGCAUCCAGGAAGUUUCUGACACUCCCUAAUGUGACCUCUCCCUCUAUCUGGCUCUUUUUUGAUUCUUUUCACAUCCCAUGAGUUUCCCACUAUCCUCUACUGCAGUGGGAGCACUCUGCUGCUGUGGCAACAGCCAUUCCAGCAUCAGUUGAUAAAACCAGUAUGUGCAGAAUGGUUCCUCGAGUGAUUCCUAAAAAGAGAAGGACCUGCCCUGUCACAUUAUCUCCAAACCCAGCCCUGAGCCCCUCCCACUCGGCCAUUUACCCCUUCUCUAGAAUGACAGGCUUCAAAUUGUCCUCUGAAGAGAGAUUCUACCAUCAAUGAUCAAUGAAGAGGUUAUGUGAUGAGGGAGAGGCCUGGCUGGGCAGGCAGUGGGUGCUGGUGAAGUCAGUAACCAAGUUUCUAAAGGGGAGGUGCAGAAAGAGGCUGGUUUGGAACAUGAAAGUCCCCAAUCCUCAGCGCCCCAAAGACCAGCUCAUCAUCCCACUCCUCUUUCCAAAGUCAUUGGUAGUUUCUGGAAUGGCGAUAGGAUGAGUGAUUUGACUACAUCUGUUGACAGAUAACUUAAAGCAAUUUGAGGAAUGAAGAUGUAGGCAUACAGCCAAGGAGACGCAUGCUGUGUGAUAUCACAUUCUCACACCCCUGUGAUUAGAAACGGAUGUAACCCAGGUGUCUGUGGGGGGUCUGGGGAAUCUGUCAGUUGGGACUGUGUUAGGAGAACUGGGGGUCAGGGAGAGCCAAAGAGAGGAGAGGGUGGGAAGGCUGUCCCCAGCUCAUUGACCUUGAAAGGUGACCUUGGGGCCUGGCUUGGUGGCUCAUGCCUGUAAUCCCAGCACUUUGGGAGGCUGAGGCAAGUGGAUCAUUUGAGGUCAGGAGUUCGAGACUAGCCUGGCCAACAUGGUGGAACCCUGUUCCUAUUAAAAAUACAAAAAUUAGCUGGGCGAUAGUGGCACAUGUCUGUAAUUCCAGCUACUUGGGAGGAGAAUCACUUAAGCCUGGGAGGCGGAGGUUGUGGUGAGCUGAGGUUGCACUACUGUGCCACAGAGUGAGACCCUGUCUCAAAAAAAAAGAAAAAAAAGAGAAAGAAGGAAGGAGGGAAGGGAAGGGAAGGGAGAGGAGAAAGGGAGAGGAAAAAGAAAGAAAGAAAGAAGAGAGGGAAGAAAGAAAGAAAGAAGAGAGGGAAGGGAAGAAAGAAAGAAAGAAAAAGAAAGAGAAGGAAGGGAAGAAAGAAAGAAAGAGAGGGAGGGAAGGAAGGAGGGAGGAAGGAAGGAAAGAAAGAAAGAAAAGGGAAGAGAAGGAAGGGAAGGAAGGAGGAAGGAAGGAAGAAAGAGAAGGAAGGGAAGAAAGGGAAGAAAGAGAGAGAGGAAGGAAGGAAGGGAAAGAAGGAAGGAAGGAAGAAAGAAAGAAAGAAAGAGAAAAAGAAAGAAAGAGAGAAAGAGGCCAGGCACGGUGGCUCACACCUGUAAUCCCAGCACUUUGGGAGGCCAAGGCGGACGGAUCACGAGGUCAGGAGAUUGAGACCAUCCUGGCUAACACGGUGAAACCCCUUCUCUACUAAAACAAACAAACAAAAAAUUAGCUAGGUGUGGUGGUGGGCGCCUGUAGUCCCAGCUACUUGGGAGGCUGAGGCAGGAGAAUGGCGUGAAUCCGGGAGGUGGAGCCUGCAGUGAGCCGAGAUGGCGCCACUGCACUCCAGCCUGGGCGACAGAGCAAGACUCCGAGAAAGAAAAGAAAAGAGAAGAGAAAAGAAAAGAAAAGAAGGAGGGAGGGAGGGAAGAAAGGAAGGAAGGGAAGAAAGAAAGAAAGAAAGAGAGAGAAGAAAGGGAAGAAAGAGAGGGAGGGAAGGAAGGGAAGGAAGGAGCGAGGGAGGAAGGAAGGAAGGAAAAGGAAAGGGAAGGAAGGUGGAAGGAAAGGAGGAAGGAAGAAAGAAAGAGAAGGAAGGGAAGAAAGGGAAAAAAGAAAGAAAGAAAGAAAGAAAGAAAGAAAAAAAGAAAGAAAGAGGCCGGGUGCGGUGGCUCACACCUGUAAUCCCAGCACUUUGGGUGAAUCACGAGGUCAGGAGAUUGAGACCAUUCUGGCUAACACGGUGAAACCCCGUCUGUACUAAAACAAACAAACAAACAAACAAAAAAUUAGCUGGGUGUGGUGGCGGGCGACUGUAGUCCCAGCUACUUGGGAGGCUGAGGCAGGAGAAUGGUGUGAACCCGGGAGGCGGAGCCUGCAGUGAGCCGAGAUCGCGCCACUGCACUCCAGCCUGGGCGACAGACCAAGACUCCGAGAAAGAAAGGAAGAAAGGAGGGAAGGAAGAAAGGAAGAAAGGAGGGAAGGAAGGAAGGAAGGAAGGGAGGGGAGAGAGAAAGAAAAAGAAGGAAAGAAAGAAAGAGAGAAGAAAGGGAAGAAAGAAAGAGGAAGGGAAGGAAGGAGGGAGGGAGGGAGGAAGGAAAAAAAGAAAGAAAAGGGAAGGAAGGAAAGGAAGGAGGAAGGAAGAGAAAGAAAGAGAGAAGGAAGGGAAUAAAGGGAAGAAAGAGAAAAAGAGAGAGAGAGAAAGGAAGGAAGGGAAGAAAAAGAGAAAGAAAGGAGGGAGGGAGGGAAGGAAUGAAGGAAGGUGACCUUGGGAGAAGGGGAGAUUUGCGGGAGGGAGAAGGGGGCACAUGAGCCCAUACUUGGCUUCCUCCAGGGUUAAGGGCAGAGCAGGGGAGGUUUUUCUUGAUUUCUGGGACCACAGUCAGGAUCUGGAGAGCAAGGGCUGGGAACCCAGCCACAUGGCUCUUCAAGCCUAGCCCACUCACUCUGGACCAGCAUGGAGUUGUCACUGCCCAACUCAGUGACAAGCAUUUUCUAUACGUUUUCUCUGCUUAGAUGCCUACCAUAAGGUCUCCUCAUCACCUGCCUAGCAGAUGCCAACACCCCUGCCUUUGUGGAAAGCCCUCUAGCCAUUGUUCCCCACUUCUUUUUGUCCUUUUCUCCACCAUGUCAUUCCCUCAUGUCAUUCCAGCUAUCAGCAGGGACUUUUUGAGCACCCAAAACAUGGGACUUCUUAAGCAACCCAAAGCUUUACUUCCAGUGAGAUGGGAGCCUUGGUAGGCUGGGAGCAGAGAGUGACAUGACCUGGCUUCCCUCUUGAAAAGGCCACUUUGGCUGCUAUUUGGGGAGCAAAUUGCUGGGCUCAAGGGCAGAAGCAGUUGCAGUCACCCAAGUGAGAGAUGAUGGUGGCUUGGAACUGGGCGGUGACUGUGGUGGUAGUGAGAAGUGGUCAGGCUCUGCAUAUAUUUUGAAGCUGUUAGAAUUUGCUAUUGGCCAAAUGUGGGUGUGUGGGAAAGAGAGGAACCAAGAAUGUCCCCCAAGGAUUUGGGCCUGGACAGCUCUAAGAUUGGAGUUGCCAUCAAGCAAAAUGGGAAGGCUUCAGGAGGAGCUGGUUUUGGAGGUAGAAUUAGAGUCCUCUCUUCUCCCCGGCCCCGCUUGAGGCCAAAUCCGCCUCCUCUAGGCCGCCUUCCCUGACUCUCCCCACGCAGUUCACUGCAGCCACUUUAAUCAUUUCCUAAUGUUCAGGGCUGUCAUUCGUCAUUCACCUAUUGGUGCUUCCCAAGGAUUCAUCUUCAGUUGAACUUUUUCUCAAAACCCAUCCCAGCUCUGUGCACACAGUGGGCUCUCAAAAAUAUUUGGUGAAUGACGAUUGAUUAAAUGAAUGAAUGCGUGACUCGGAACAGAUGUGUAGGGAAUUGUAAACAGCAGUGACCUCUUAAUACCCCGUGGCAAGACACAGUGCAGCUGGUGUGUGGAAUGGAAGCCAAGCUUCUGGGAUGGUGGCCCAGCAGCAUCUUUUCUCCCUUCCCUGAAGCCCUGGGCCAGAGUGAGGCCAGUAGACCCUUGCCUUGCUCCUUUGAAGGAAGCUCCAGUUCUUCAGAGGAAUGACCUUGGGGCAUUCAGGGCUGAGACCCUCUUCUGCCCCUAAAUCUCUGCUCUGUCCAGAGGCAUGGGGAUAGUUUCACCACACUUCUGGGAGACAGGGGGAAAAGUGGGCAAGGUAUCCUCACAGCCCAGGCAGUAAUCCCAGCUGGGACUUCAGCCCCAUCCCCCACUCCCACUUGCUGAAAAAAAAGGAGACACUAGACACAGUGGUCCAAUAUGGAUGCUCUGAGUGGCUCACACCUCCAGGACCUCAUCCAGGAAGACUUCCUAGAUUGGUCCAUUAGCCCAGCCACUGCCUUUGCUUCUCCAGGGCAUUGGUAGUUGAGAUAUUUCUGUGGACACUGCAGGUCCCCGGCUCACCCUCUCUGGCCCCAGAAGACUCCCUGAGUUCAGUGGUUGGGGAUUUUUCCUCUGGGCUACAGAUCAGGUGUGUGGGCUCCAGAGAGAGAUUUAUUGUCUUCCUGUCUAUUGGGGAAAAUGAGGCAGAGAAAACUAGAGGCUGGGAGUGGAGCCAGAGGUCAUGGGCCUCGGUCUGCCCUCUAGCUCAACCGUCUCGGGGGAGCUUCCAGAAGGGUGGGAAUGCCGAGAAAUUCUAAGCUACAACUCACAUUCCUUGGAGCUCACAGCUGCCUGGACACAAAUUUCUACACCAACAGGGCAAGGAUAGAGCAGGGAUGAGCCUGCCCACCGUGUGAAAGGACAGGGUCGGAAAUGAGGUCCCUUAGAAGGAAAACAAGUCACCUCUAGUCACACAAGUAAACAAGACCAGAGCCUGAAGCCCAUGUCCCCAGCUGGAGGCCGGGGCCCCCCAAGCUGGGAUGGGGACGGGGCACAGGCUCUCCCUUCAGAGGCAGGGUUCUCGGGGCUUUGUCGUCCUGGAGGGAGUGGAAACUGGUUGAAGGCUCUUGGGAGGGCCUGUUCCAGACGUGGGAGGGGAGGAUAGGGGCUGGAAUCCAAAAAACUGGCCCCUCCUUCAGCCAAGGGUUUCUCAGCUAGAAAGUCAGGGGGCUAGGGAGGUCUGACUCAGGGCUGGGCUUCUUCUUCUCAGGGCUGGACACUUGCUUCUCCCAAGUGUCCCGGCCCCCAGGCUAGAACACAGGACUUCUAUUUCUCGUGACUGGUUUCUCAGCAGAGGAGCCCUGGCAGUGCACAACAAGGCACGGGGUUUCUCCUUCCCCUCCUUGGGGAGUGGGGUCCAGAUCUCCAAGCAUUGAGACCUUCCUUCUUUUAAAGCCAGAACUCCAUGAUGUCCUGCAGAGAAGCAUAUCUCUGACCUGAUGACCUCGCUGGCUUCCCAGGAAAGGACAGUCCCCUGGCCUCUGCUAUCUGGCUGCCUUAGAGGCCAGUGCUGGCCAACACGCAGUACUCAAGCCCUUCCCCACUCUGGCUUCACCUGCUGACAACUUUGACCUCUAAUGCUUUCCUCUAAAUGCCCCUGCUCCAGGCCUGACCCCACCCCUGCACCUUUGCUUUGCUCUGCCCUUUUCCUGAAUGCCUUCUGUUAUAUGAAUUCAAAUCCAAUUCUCCCCUCAAGGCCCAGCUUCAGAGCCACCUCCUCCAGGAGGCCUUAUGACUACCCCAUCGCACACCGCUCUGCCUUUCCUACCCACUGAUUAUAGUCAGGGGCUGGGUACCCACAUUCUGCCUACUUAUAUCCCACGGAGAUAUCCUCUUCUGCCAGCUGAAUUGUUAAGUGCCCUACAUAGGUUAGUUAGUAAGGGCUCACUGAUCCUUGCUGAACUGAAAGACAGGGGAUCUUACAGUUACUAAGCACCUCCUAUUGCCAGGGACCCUCUUAGACAUGUAAUGUUCAUCAUUUCAUAAAAGCCUUUGAAGCAGGGGCUGUCAUUAUCUUCAUUUUAUAGAGACAUACACUUGCCCAAGACCACACAGCAGGCUGCUGGUGGAAUCAGAAUUUGAAUAUAGGUCUGUGUGUGUUCCACAUCUUCCCAUAACUUCAUGCUAUUACCAUGCAGCUAUUUCUAGAGACUUGCUUAAUAUAAUAACUGCAUGUGAUUCCAAGACAUAUAGAACCCCACAGCAGGAAAGUCUGGGAUCCUGGCAGAGAAAUGGGGACUGGGUAUUAGAAGGGUGAGUGAAGAAUGGGAAGGAGGGCCCUGACUCUCCUGCCUGUCCUGCUGAGGAGCUCCUGUAACCCAGACAUCUGCUGCACCUGAAGUCUGCAUGAUCUAGGACUGCAGUCACAUUAAGACUGCCCCACAGAAUCCUGGGAGUGAGAAUGUGGCAGAGGAGAAUCCUUCAGACAGAGCUGGUGGUCUGUAGCAACACCAGUCGCUUCAUAGCUCAGCCCCAUGACCUAUGUCCUGGGGUCUUGGUCCACUUUUAGUGGACCUGACAGUCCCAACAAGUCAGGGUCUUCUGAGGACUUCCCUAAUGUCAAGCCUUGGGGGUUCUGGGUUGUCUUCUUGAUUUGCUAUGUGGCCUUAAGAGAAUAUAUGCAGCUGGUCAUCUAAGAAAUUGGGUGGAGGGAGGAGCUAGAGAAUCUCUGCUCCCUCUGCUCAGGGGCUUCUAGUAGGGAAAGGCAGAAGAACACCUAAUCUAGGGUACUCUGUCUGAAACUGUACUCAUUUAAAAUCAGAUCCCUGUGCUCCUCAGGCUAAUAAAGAGCCCAGGAUAAGAAGUCCAGAUGUUUCCCACAUGUGCUUUUCCUGUAUGUUGCCAUGGCAACUGUCCCAUACACACCACUGGGGUGGAUAUUGCACACUGGGCCUCAGCAGAGCUCUGCACCACCCAGGUACAUCGCCCUUAGACCAUGACCCACCCAGAUCAGUUGUCAUGGCAACUGCAGGCCGGUGAGGGAAAACUCCAGGCAGGCAAAGGAAGGAGAGGGUAGGGUGUGUGCCUGUGGCUGUGCCCAUGUGUUGGAUGGGGACAAGCAAACUCCUUGUGUGAGCAUGUGUCCUUCGGGAUGGGCAAAUCUAGAGUUUAAUUUGACCUGUCCAUGAAGAAUUGGUUGUUUUAAGGUCAUUAAAUCACAACACUAAGAGGGACCUUGGAGAUAGUCUUACUCUGUAAUAAAUCCUCUUAAUUCACUGUGGGCCACACAAACCCAAAAACCUGAUGAGGAAAAGCACAAGGCCCAAACCUGUGGUGACCUUGUCAACACAGUGAUGACAUCACUACCCUAGAACAGAACUUCUUAAUCUAUGUUCACAGACUGGAUUCUGGAGGUCCACAGUACCAGCCAUCAAACAUAAGCCAAAUACUGUGAAUAUGUCCAUUUAUCUGGGGGGAUAUAUUGUAAUAUCAGUCAAAUUCUUAAAGAGAUUCCUGACUCUAAAAAAGUAAAGACAACUGCGAAAGUAAUGAGAAGCUUUUACCCAUCUUAGUCUGAACCAGCUGGGACAGAUGGUUUAAAGAAACCUGGCCUUCUUACUACCCUAGAGAGAAAGAUAUUCCCAUUUUGUGGCUGCACUCAUUUUCUCAGUUGGUACUUCUGUGCUUUAUUAGAGUUUUGUUAGGUUUUUGAAUGAGGUAUUAAACCUCACAGAGGAAUGCCAUGGACUCAUAUUUCAAUGAAUUUUAAUAGAAUAAUCACUGGCAAUUACUUGGCAUAUAAAAAUUGCUCUGCAAAUGUUAAGAGUAUUCAUUGGCGUGAUAGGUGGGAGUUCCAAUGCCAUGAUGAGAACGUUGCCUUUCACAGGGCCUGAUGUCAUCACAAGGGGCUUGCCACCUCUGUGCUCCCUCCUGCCUGCAUGCAACCUCAGAUUCUUCAGCAGGAAGGAUGCUGUGAGCUCAUGAGGUCAGCUUUUGCCCCUGGACUGUGCCAGUGUUUAUAUGAACCUCAGGCUGUUCUCCUUCCACUUCCACUGGGGCUGAGCUUUCCUCCUGCCAGGAAGUUCUCUUAUUUAUCUGACCUCAGUCAUUCAUACCACAGGACACUCUCAUUUCCUUCUCCUGGAAGGAUUUUCUUGAGAGAAGGGACAACUGAGCAUUUCUCCGCUCUCCCCUCCUCCCUGGGCUCAUCUGGUCUCACGUGGAUGACUCCACACUUGCUGAACCUUCCUAUGUCCUGACCUUUAAUUAUCUUCAGCUCCCUCUGAAGCCUGGGACUCCCACCACCCAGGAAGGCAAGUUUUUUAUUCCUUCCGCCCUUUUAAAGGAUGAAUAUUGUGGCUGGGGUAAUUCUCAGCACUUAAUCUCUCUGGCUAUUGUGUCUGUGUCACCUCUCUCUUCAACUGCCUCUCUCCAGAGCUCCUUCUGUGUAAGCCUGCCCGCAGCCUUAUAGUGGGGAGGGAAGUCUCUCACCAGGGGACCCUAAUCCUCUUACAAAGGGGUUUGGGGGGUCUUGGGAUGGUGUGUUCCAGUUUCUGCCCAUUCAGUGGUGCUGGAGGGAGACUUCAGCCUUGGCCAAGACUGGCAUGGAGCCAGCACUUCUUGAGAUAAAGCCCCCUCUGCAGGCUCUCUGUCUGCCCUGGGCCUUCCCAGGGAGACAAUAGUUCAGAGUUAUAAGGAGGGCUGGCCAAUCUCUGCCCAGGCAUGGGGCAAAGAUCUGAGGGGCCAGAUCUUCAGAGCUGCACUGGAGGUGAGGCUUACCUGGAUUGGCCAGAGAAGUAGGGAGCAGCAGUGGUGGAAGUUUAGCAAAUAGUUCCGCCUCCCAUAGCUGAAACUUGUAACUGCUCCACAGCUCCCUGGAUAACAACCUCUAAAGCUGUAUGGAGCAGUCUGAGCUGGAGAGAUUCCUGUCAACCAGGCCACCUCUCCUUCAGUGUCCUUUUUCCCAGAACCUGUCCAUGGCUCAUAGACACAUGGAGAACUAAACAAGGGGUUGGGAUUUCCUAGGAGGAGCUGAAGCAGAUCGCUGCAGGUUGGAGAGUGGAGUCUCUAAAAAUCUGCUAAGAGGCUGCCAAGUCAAGGACAGGUAGGUAUUGGGUAUAGGGGGUAAUUCUCUAGGAAAACUACAGGGGAAAGUUUAUCACCUUCCUCAUCUAUUCAAGCACUCAGGGCGAAGGGGGGUGGCCCACAGACUGCUGUUGCUUAUAGUCCCAGGAAUGUCAUGAGGCCAAAGCUCUGCUCCUGCUCCUUAGGGUGGGAGACAUAUUCCAGAGCUGGGGCUUCUCCAGGGCCACCAUGUAGAUCACGUACAGCUGCACAGGUUGUACACUGCACAGCUCUAGGCUACAUCAUAAAGGGCCCACAAGUGUAGAAGUCUUUGCCUAUUUUGUCCACAAAUGUAUUCCAAGCUUCUAGAAUAACACCUGGAACACAGUAAGUGCUUUAUAAAAAAUUGGCAAAUGGGUUGGGUGCAAUGGCUCACGCCUGUAAUCCUGGCACUUUGGGAGGCUGAGGCGGGCAGAUCGCGAGGUCAGGAGAUUGAAACCAUCCUGGCUAACACAGUGAAACCCCGUCUCUACUAAAAAUACAAAAAAAAAAAAGAUAGCCAGGUGUGGUGGUGGACGUCUGUAGUCCCAGCUACUUGGGAGGGUUAGGUAGGAGAAUGGCAUCAACCCAGGAGGCGGAGCUUGCAGUGAGCUGAGAUCGUGCCACUGCACUCCAGCCUGGGUGACAGAGUGAGACUCUGUCUCAAAAAAACAAAAAACAAAACAAAACAAAACAAAAAUUGUCAAUUGGAUAUGAAUUUCCUCUGGAGUUGGGCAAUGCAGAGGUCCUGGUUUUCUUGGUGCAGCGAGAAACAGGGAAGCUGGGUCUUGCCAAGAUUUCUUGAUUUCUGGGACCACAAUCAGGAUCUGGAGAGCAAGGGAUUUGUACUAUAUGUGGAGCACUCAUAGUUGCAAAAACCACGUAGAAUCACUCACACACCUUUUAGAGUGGGAGGGCCUGAGUCCAAGGUAGCCACGGGGAAAAGAGGCUCCAAGCUGACCAGCUUCUGCUAUUCUUGCCACUCCACUGAAAUGGCUAACAUUGGGUCAAAUCCACUGCCUUGAGAUAAAUCCCCUUCCCAGCCAAAUAUUGUCUUGAAAAGUCAAUCUCCUCCCUCCUCCUGUACUCCUCUAAAGAAAUAGCAUCCAGACUCCUACAGUUUCUAUUUCAAACCCCUCCAGCAGGUACCUCGGAUGACCUUACUUAUCUGGCCUCUUCCUUCAUAGCCCCUCCCAGAGCCAGGCUGGUGAUCCCACUGCCUCUCCUGGCCUCCCUGGGAGAACUCCCAGACUUGAGUCAUCUUCCCCUCCAGUGAGGUCAUAGAACGUAUGGUUAAGAGCAUGACCUCUGAAGACCAGCUGCAUGGGUUCAAAUCCUGGCUAGACCACCUUGGGCAAGCCACUUAACCUGUCUAUCCCAGUUUCCUCAUCUGCAAAGUGGGUGUGAUAAUAACAUCACUUGCCUCAAUAACAAAUAACACCAAACACAUAUUGAGCAGUUCUUAUGUAUCAGCCAUUCUUCUAAGCGCUUUACCAAUAUCCAUGCAUUUAAUUCUCACAAAACCCUAUGAGGAAAGCACUGUUAUCAUCCCUGGUUACAACCAAGGACACAGGGGCACAGACAGACUAAAUAAGUUCCCCAAGGCUGCAUAGCUAGCAAGUGAGGAAGCUGUGAUGCAAGGCAAGUAGGGAGUUAGAUUCCAAACCUCAUGCAGUUGUUAGAAGGAUUAAAGGUGCUUAUAACAAUGCCUGGUUCACAGUAAGCCACGGUAAGUGUCGGCUGCUGCUACAAGUGCUAUUAUGACCUCCCGUCCCAGUUCCUGGAAGCCUACCAGGUCCUAGAUUGCUGCUUUGUUUAUCCAACAGAGUCUCCAGAGACCCUCGCACUCCCAAGCCACCUCUGCCCCACAACAGCACCAACCUGCUCAAGCUCUGAGAACACGGCUAAUAUCAUCUGCCCCUGAACUGUUUCUACUUUCUAGUCAAUUGUCUGCAUGUCUUCUCUCCACAGAUGACUGGGACAUAAGGCUCAUCUUGGCCUGGAGGUCCCCAGAGGGCAAAGAACACAGCAGUGUGAACUCAGCAUGAAAUGACAUAGGUUUGGAGUGACAGGGAUGCCAGUGGCAUCCUGGGACCUGCUCAGAUUGAGGGAGAUGUGAGCAGGGACUGUGGCUCACUGAUCCCAUUUCCUUCCUCAUUGCUUGGCAGAGGCUAAGGGAGACUGAGUUGAGCUUGGACAGUGUGCGACUGAGUGAGUACUGGCGGCAGUUGGGAAGGCAGGGAGUAAGAGAAGAGUGUGGCCUUUUGACAAGCCUGGGAUGGAAUCCUGGCACAGCCUCCUAGCUGGAUGUCCUCAGACAGGUUUUAUAUAACCCUUCUGAGCCUGAGUUUCCUAUCCAUAACACAGAGUAAUAAUAACACCUUCAAAGGAUUAUAUAAGGUAUUCAUGAAGGACUUUAUGUAAAGCACUUGGCACUAUGCCCUGCACAUAGUAGGGUAUUCAAUAAGUGAUAGUCAUUAUUACCAUUUAGUUCUUUUUAGUGUUUAAGGAGUCAGAAAGCAGUGGUCCUGGUUUAGUUCACCUGCUAACUUCCUAUGCAGUCCUGAGCAAGUCACUUCUCUUCUCUGAGUCUCAUCUCUCCCUCAUUGAAAAGGAGGCCAAAUUUGGGAGAUCUAUAAAGUUUGUUAGAGCUUUGACUUCCUAUGUUCUUUGAUGCAAGUCAUUUGUAGUCCAGGAAUACUUGGAUUUGGUUUGAAACCCCCAGAACAAACUUCUCUCCCAGAGAGUAGUUACCAUUCCUUGCUCCUGCCCCAGGCACACUAGCUUUGCAAGUUCUCUUAGAAUGAAUACUCUAUUCCUGCUCUAUUUCAAAUCCAUAAGGCAUGAAAAACUUCACUGUGGCUUAAAGAUGGAGCCAGCUCAACAAGGGAGAAGAAAGAGGAAGAAAAGCAAAACAGCCCUAGUAUGAGGCCAAACUCCACACUGCCCCACCCAUUCUCUCUAUAUAUCAACCCUCGUGUGAGAAGGAGGCAGGGAGGAGGCUCUGGCUUUUUCCUGAUAACACGUACUAUGAUGAGAAAAAGAUCCCUUCAUUGUGGGUCCACUUAGUGCUCAUUCAAACAUGCCACAAAGUGGAAGUCAUUAAAGAAUCUGCAUAAGCCUUGGGGCAACCUUUCCCAGUCCUCCUGCACACAGCCUCACACAUGUGGGCACGCGGUAACGUCAGCCUUGGCUUCUCUUGGCUGUCCAAAUUAAGAUCUGAUGGUGGUCUAUACACUACCCAGUGCUGACUGCAACCAAAGGGAGAGUCAGCAGAUGGGACCAGUGCUGGGCUGUCACCAACAGAAUCAGAUGGGCCAGGGAGGGUCAGGGCACAUGUACAAACAUCAGUGGGCUGGGCAUUUCCACACUUGCCCCAGGGCAGAGGCAGAAGGAGCAGCUGCUGGUGGAUGGCCUUCAGGAUAUAUGAAGAACAUCCCCAGUGCCCCAGGUUGGAGGCAAGUCAUCAUGGGAAAUUCUCCUGCUAUAUAAAUACUAGAAAGCCUUGUUUGGACUCUAUGCCCAGAGUCCAAGCAGAUUAAGAAAGUGGCACAAGGCUGAGAAAGCUCUUUGGCCUUCUCCUGCUCCGCUCAAAGACUCUGCACUCACCCCCCAAACCCAUUCAGUGAGCUUGGAAGACAGAGAGAAGCACAUUGGGAAAGGAGCAGAGAAAGACUGGUUGGUCUUUCUCAGCUGGUAGAGAAGAAACAGGCUGAUAGAGGACAAAUUUUAGAGCUCUACAACCACUUACAUUGGAUUCCUUACUCAUUCAUUCAAAUCAUACCUUCACCAAACCCUGACCGCCAGGCACUGUGCUAGGUGAUGGGGGGCAAGAUGAGUUCAUGGUCAGGAAGGGAAGAUACAUGAGCUUCAAAAAAAAGCCCCCAAACCCCCAGCCAUCUACAAAUUGAUAUGGAAAUAACAUGAUCAAUAACUGUCAAAUAACUAUGCUGGAUUCUGUGAAUUAUAUAAAUAUUUGAUGGAGUACUCUCCAAAGCACCCAAUUAUCCUUCUAUAAAUGGGAUAAUAAGCUCAGUGCCCUCCUUAUGCCAUGGGGCCUAGCGAGGGAGGCAGGACUGACUGGCUGCCUUGUCAACCCCUAUAGGGGCAGGUCACUGGGCACAGCUUCUGGGAUCCCAACAAAUUCUCUAGAUAAGUCUCACUGGAGUGAAUCCCUGGGCUGUGAACAUCUUGAAGGCAGGUCAAAGUCUUAUUUGUCUUUUACCCCAGUGUCAAGCACAGUGUUCAGCACAAGGCAAACACUCACUGAUGGUUUGUAGAUUGAAUGAAAGAAUACAUGAAUGAAUGAGUCAUGUCAUGCCCCAAGUGACUUUGGGAGUGAGAGGGCAAGGCAUAAAAUGAAAUCCUUCAGUUGCCUCCUCUCUUCCUCUCUUCUCUGUUUUCUUCAAGCUCAGAAGAGCGCAGGCUCUUCCACAAGGCAGGCAAAUCCGAAAUCUCUCUCCCCAUCCAACCCAUCAAAGAGCUCGGCGUAUCCUCGGCAGAGAUGGGUCACCAUGACAACUAGCUAGCACCAGAGCAGAGGCAGUGCAGUGAACCCUGCUCCUCUUCCCUAGGAGCCUUGGAGAAAGCCAGUGUUUCUCACUUUUCUGGUAAAACCCUCCUCCAAAUGUUCCCCGGCACUCUGUCCCCCCAGAGGUACCCAACCGUGAUCUAGCAGACAGUUUCACAUCUAACCAGUGAGGGUGGUCUUCCAGCUGACAAGCCUGGGGGAUUCCUAAUGCUAGUCUGCAACAGACGUUAAAAGUAAAAGACCUCUCAUCAACUCAUCGGAUAAUAAUCGUGAACGAGCGCUGGGUUAGGUGCAUGGAGAUCAUUAGGCUCUAACAAUGUGGCAUCCACAUGAGGAAGCCAUUACACUAACAAAACUGCAAAUGUAAAAAUAGAGCUCCACAUAGUUUCCUGGUUACCACAUUCUAAUUCUGAUGGCUUUUCGGUGCCAGAGAAAUUUGGUUUCCUUUUGUCCCCUGCCAUGCCCUGGUUCUCUUGCAUGUAUAUUUAUUGUGGAAGGAGAUGGCUUGCUUUGCAAAUGCUGAGUCCUUAACCCAUAACCCUCCUCCACAAGGCUUGUCAUGGAAGAAUGAGUGUUGCUGCUCUGUUUUUAGGGUUGCAGUGGCUCCAAGAUCACUGCUAUAGACCAGGCCUAGAAAGGGCUCAAAAGGUCCCAGCUCCCAGGCCAAGAAGGGAUAUCUGGCCACCUGCCCAGCAGGGCACAGAGAAGACAGAAGCAGUAUACCAUCCUGUCCGGUGAUCUCAGGGUCAGGCUGUGUUCUAAGCCCCAGCUUGGCCCGCUGGAGCAGGGCACCAAGACAAAGCUGGGAGACAAGCCCUCUGGACAAUCUCAGGAUCCAUGUUUGAAGAGACACAAACUUUUUGAAAACUCCAGCCUGUCUCCACCAUGCUUCAGGGGAAAAGGAGAAGUCGUUGGGGUUAUUGUCCACUUUUGGUUCAGAGCAGGAUAGCACCACACAGGGCAUGGGGCAGGAGUAAAAGGAAGAGAAAGUCACAGAGAAACAGAGAAAGCAAGUCAAGGGAGGAGGCUCACUCAGCAACCUGGAGAGACCUGGAGAGUCUCUCCUUUGGGGCUUUUCUCUGCUCCAGCCUUGGGGACCCCUCUGGUACAGAGGUCAUUCACUGUACAAAGGCUUUCAGGGAUGACUGGGGCCUACGUCCCAGGAGUUGGAAGAAUGAGGUAUCCCGAGUCACAGAUGAGCCGCUUUGCUUAAGACCCUUCCUCUCUAGGGCAGAUAACCGGGCCCAAGCUGUCUCCUCGGUUCAGAGCCCAGAGCUUGGCCUGUGACUUUAAAACUCAGCCCCUAUUUUUGAGCACAUAGCACUUCAUAAUAAAUAGCAGAGAAAGUGAAGCUGAGACAAGAUUGUAUCUCAGCAGAAUUGUUUCCAAAUAAAGUGUUGUUUUUUCCCCCUCAAA